UACAUUCUACUCCGUUCUGAAUUAUUUGUCUUAGAUUUGUCUAAAUACGAAGGUAUCUAGCACUAAAAUGAGUCUAGAUACAUCCGUAUCUAGACAAAUCCAAAACAAGUAAUUCGAAACGGAGGAAGUAUGUU
rfam:Triticum aestivum genome assembly, contig: Triticum_aestivum_CS42_TGACv1_scaffold_329584_4BS